AUAGUCCACAUGCAUGAGAUUUUUUCUUCGUUAUGUAUUAAAAAACGUACAUGUAGUUAGUAUACGCGUUAGUUAUCGCGGCGCAUUGACGUUGAUUUCGACGUAAAAUAGUCGAUGGAUUGGAAUGAAAUCCAUGGAAACGUGAUCCUUGUCCUAAUGGUGAGCAAAUAUUUGCAGAUAACGAUAACAGGGCGCCGUGUAAAACCAGAUUUUCAUGGCGAAAUGAAAAAUAUCAGAAACUAGACAAAAUUUACCAACACCAACGUAGGAGAAACAAACGUCUCGUCACGAGCCCUUCAUUAAUCACUUGUCCGAUAUUAUAUUAUAAGUAAGGUGCACGAUCGCACGUGCCCACAAGUUCUGCUUUUAUUUUUACUCGGAAAGAUAAGAACAAGUGUUAGGCUUUUUCCGAGACCAAGAGUCGUCUUUUAAAUUAUCAAUUGUGAAAUACGUGUUUUUUCCUUGAAAUAAAAGUUGAAAAUUUU